UUUGUUUUGUUUUAUUCCAGUACAGUGUUUUCUCUUGUGCAUUGUUUGGACUUAUUAGAACUUGUAAGCAGAAAGUUAAGAUUUCUUUUUUGAAGGUCAGAUACCUUCUGCCAACUACACAUAUUGUUGGUGAGCCAGAUAUCUCCAAGAGAAGGCUUAGAAAGGUGGUUUGGAAGUGUUCUGGGGUUUAGCAACUGCACAGAGUAGAAACUCAUAAAAUAUAUUAUUUAGGCAGAGAAAGUUCUUUGAGUCUAAAGAAAAAAGUCUCUGGGGCUCAGAAAGAAAAGUAACAAACUCCAAAAAAAUAUUUUUUAGUUGCUCAGGGUGUAAUUCUUCAUGUAUGGUUUGCAUUGUCUGCAAAGUGCAGUAUUUGAUUCUAAAAUAGAAGCACCUCAAGUAAGUCAUUACUUGAAAUUAAUUUGGUCCUAAAUAAUUUAGGCAAGUUGAACCAUACAUAAGCCACACUUUUUUUUUAAUUUACAGUGUAAAGUUUAAAAAUGCUUUGCUGUGAUGGCAGUGUAGAAUGUGUACAGUAAGAGGGGGAUUUUUGUGCAGAUUAAUUUUAGCAUUUAUAGUCUCCUGACUUUCAACUGACUUUUUUUUUCCAAAUUGCAGUCUUAGAUUGCUGCAACAGAACAUCACCUCUAUAAACUGAAAUAAUGUAAUGAAAUCUUCUGAUUAAAUCUUGUGGAGUCUUUGCAUACCCAAUGCUCUCAGUUUGAAAGGCUGGGCUGUUGGACCCUCCUGUGACAGUGGGACAAAGGACAUUGUCGGGGAUGGAGUGUGAUGGGAAGGGCUUGAACACCUUCUGAAGCCUUGGAGAAUGAAGGAGCUGCUCUUGUUGAGAAGAAGAGAGAACAGCAAAGAAAAAGGUGUCAGAAGUUUACAAAAGCAGGAAGAGAGAAAUUAAAACAAAUCCUGUGUAAGCUGGUUUGAGUUCAGCAUUUCGCAACCGAUGUGGUUAAUUUAUAUGAUGAUGAAUGUGAGAGUAACGCCUGGUGAUUUUGACUCACUUUGGAUGAGAAGUAUGAAAGUAACCACCAGUGGGUUUGACUCACUUUUGAUUUCCUUUCAGGGCUUUUUGCUUUUAUUUUCAGGCUUAAUCACUAUUAUUGUAAAAAUAUUUGUUGUCUCCACAGAAGUUCCCCGAUGAUUUUGACUAUGCCUUGGGUGUGUCAUGUAAUGGACCCACACAUACACAUGGUUAAUUAACUGCCAGUUAAGUACAGAACUUGUUUUUUCCAAAUAUAAGAUAUACUUUUAUCCUGUCGUGCUGUGCCACUCUUAAAAUACUCUUUGAGGAAUUUACUCAAUCUUUAUUUAGAUGUGUUAAUCCUGGUAAAAAUGCAAAAAUAUUUUGGGUAGCUAAACUUAAUGAGGUAAUAAUUACUCAUUCUUGUUUAACUUCUGCUAGAUUUGGUAUCUAAAUUUGGGGCACGAAUAUAAAAUCUUUCCUGUGCCCACAUAUCCAGUUUUAAAGCACUUAGAAGAAUCCAGACUUAUUCCAGCAAUUUUCUGUACUAUAAAUCCAGAAUGAAUAUUCUGUUUCCACUUUCAAGUGUUAAAAAAUAAUUUCUUUUUUUUUCUUUCUAAGGUCUUUAUCUUAUUUAUUUCUAACAGAAUACUCAUUUAAUCACAUGGCAUUUGUGAUGACUUCUUAGUAGUGUGUACUGUUGCAGAGGUUCUAAGUUUGCAGAGUAGAGGCUUACUCUUAGUCUGAUUCUCUUACAAUUUUCUCAUAUUAAAUAUGAGAAAAAAGCUCUUUCUGAACUGAAAUCAUGGGCAUUAUUUAUAGCUUAAUUUAGAUCCGUGUAAUGUAGAAAGCAAGCAAAUUUGUUUCCAGUUUUUCACAUUGAUAAUUUUCAGUCUGUUUUAUAUUUUUCAUAAUCUUUUUAAUGUGUUGUUUUCUAUUAGCUGAGUUGUAUUAUUGCCAUUCCCGACAUCAAACCACAUGAGAGCGAGAAAUAGAGGACGGAAAGGAAA